rnacentral:rRNA from 1 species
UACGGAAGGCAGCAGUGGGGAAUAUUGCACAAUGGGCGCAAGCCUGAUGCAGCCAUGCCGCGUGUAUGAAGAAGGCCUUCGGGUUGUAAAGUACUUUCAGUCGUGAGGAAGGUGUUAAGGUUAAUAACCUUAGCAAUUGACGUUAGCGACAGAAGAAGCACCGGCUAACUCCGUGCCAGCAGCCGCGGUAAUACGGAGGGUGCGAGCGUUAAUCGGAAUUACUGGGCGUAAAGGGCACGCAGGCGGUUAAUUAAGUUGGAUGUGAAAUCCCCGGGCUUAACCUGGGAAUGGCAUUCAAGACUGGUUAGCUAGAGUCUUGUAGAGGGGGUAGAAUUCCAUGUGUAGCGGUGAAAUGCGUAGAGAUGUGGAGGAAAUACCGGUGGCGAAAGGCGGCCCCUGGACAAAGACUGACGCUCAUGUGCGAAAAGCGUGGGGAGCAAAACAGGGAUUAGAUACC